rnacentral:rRNA from 1 species
AUGCUUAAGCCGUUCGAGAUUUUUCUGAUUCUAGCAUCGGUCAUGGUGGCUUCUGUCGGAAUCUUGGCCAUCGUCGCCAAGUGCUGCGGCUACAAGGGCAAUGGUGCAGGAGGCUUCGGUGGCGCCGACGGAGGUGGAGGUGGAGGCGGAGACGGUGCAGACUUAGAAGACGGAGAUGGGGGUGGAGAUGGCACAGGCUUGACGGAUGGUUCCGGUGGGGGUGGGGGUGGGGGUGGAGGUGGAGACGGCACGGGCUGGGCAGGGGGAGACGGCGGAGGAUGGGGAGGUGGAGGCGGAGGCGGAGGCGGAGACGGUGGUGGAGGCUGGGGCGGUGGGGGUGGAGGUGGAGACGGCGGCGGAGGCAUGGGAGGUGGCGGAGGCGGUGGAGGUGGUGGCGGUUGUUGA